rnacentral:rRNA from 1 species
GAUCCUGGCUCAGAUUGAACGCUGGCGGCAGGCUUAACACAUGCAAGUCGAGCGGAGCGAGGGUGCUUGCACCUUAGCUUAGCGGCGGACGGGUGAGUAAUGCUUAGGAAUCUGCCUAUUAGUGGGGGACAACAUUCCGAAAGGAAUGCUAAUACCGCAUACGCCCUACGGGGGAAAGCAGGGGAUCUUCGGACCUUGCGCUAAUAGAUGAGCCUAAGUCGGAUUAGCUAGUUGGUGGGGUAAAGGCCUACCAAGGCGACGAUCUGUAGCGGGUCUGAGAGGAUGAUCCGCCACACUGGGACUGAGACACGGCCCAGACUCCUACGGGAGGCAGCAGUGGGGAAUAUUGGACAAUGGGCGCAAGCCUGAUCCAGCCAUGCCGCGUGUGUGAAGAAGGCCUUUUGGUUGUAAAGCACUUUAAGCGAGGAGGAGGCUACUUAGAUUAAUACUCUAGGAUAGUGGACGUUACUCGCAGAAUAAGCACCGGCUAACUCUGUG